rnacentral:lncRNA from 1 species
GGGCAGCAGCCUGCACAGGGAGCACAGGGACCGGCACUGACCAGGGCAGCUCCGGAGAUGGGCUGGUGCCGGGGUUUGCCCAGGAAGGCUGGGAGGAAAGCAACUUCAGGUCUCUGGUGCACAAAGCUGAGCCAUGAGACUGGCCUGAGGGUUUGCUGUUGCAAAAGCUGUGUAGGAGUGCAGGGUCCUUCCUGGAUGGAGGCUACAGCAAGCAGCUGAGCUGUGCCGAGUUUCACAGCUGUGUUGUGCAAUGGUCAAAGCCAAUCCCAGUUCCACCGCUCUUUGCAUGGGAGCUGCGUGGAAAUAUACGAGCAUGGCAGAAAUGAGUCUGACGCACUCCCUAAAGGGGCAAGAGCAUUGUACAAGAAAGGCUGAACUGAUGCUUGGAUUUCAUGUGAACAUCUAUUUAAGCCUCUGAGGACAUUGCCAGGAGCCAC